GCGUCGAUAGCUCAGUGGCAGAGCAGUAGGAUGGUACCCUACUGGCCCCGGGUUCGAUUCCCGGUCGACGCU